rnacentral:rRNA from 1 species
GAUGAACGCUGGCGGCGUGCCUAAUACAUGCAAGUCGAGCGAACGGACGAGAAGCUUGCUUCUCUGAUGUUAGCGGCGGACGGGUGAGUAACACGUGGAUAACCUACCUAUAAGACUGGGAUAACUUCGGGAAACCGGAGCUAAUACCGGAUAAUAUUUUGAACCGCAUGGUUCAAAAGUGAAAGACGGUCUUGCUGUCACUUAUAGAUGGAUCCGCGCUGCAUUAGCUAGUUGGUAAGGUAACGGCUUACCAAGGCAACGAUGCAUAGCCGACCUGAGAGGGGGAUGGGCACAUCGGGAAAUGAGCAACGCUACAGAAUCCUACGGGGGGCCACAGUAGGGAAUCUUCAGGAAAGGGCAAAACCCUGAAGGGGAAACGCGGGGUGGGUGUAGAAGGUCUUCGGAUGGUAAAACUUUGUUAUUGGGGAAAAACAUUUGUGUAAGUAACUGUGCACAUUUUGACGGUACCUACUAAGAAAGCCCCGGCUAACUACGU